AAAAAAAGAAGAAAAGAAAUUACAUUGCAUUAGACAU
rnacentral:sRNA from 1 species